CAAAGUGAGCUCGACAACAGCAGAAAUGAGGCUCAGCUACAACCUUUGAACAGCAGCCAAAAAACUCAGAGUAGUCCCAACAAUUGAACUUAAAGUUCCCAGAAAACUUAAGUGCUAAGAAACUAGAAGAAAACCAAGAAGCAUUUUUGUCAUCUUUCUGAAAAAGGUAAUAUCCUUUUUUUGUGUGUGUAAAGAUGUGUAGAGUGUAUCCUUUUUAGUGAGGAAAGACCUCCUCUUUAUAUAGGAGAGGAAGGACUCUUGGGACAGAUUUUGUUUAUCAAAAAAUCUGUCCAAAAUGAUAACUUUUUGAUUGAAAAUUUGUCCAAAACCAAAAAUCUACCCAAGAAACAGUGUUCUUUACCAACUGUGGAUAGGUUUUUGGAGCAUUAUGCUCCAAAUAGUGCCUGAACAGUAGAAAGCAACCAAAUAGUACCCCCCUCUCAUCAUUCCCUUACUACACUCUCAACUUUACCAAUACACCAAAUAUUUUCUCAAAACAAUCAAACCCAAACAACUAUGGACUAUCAAAGUAGAAACAAGAUUUAAAAUGUAAUCGAACUAAAUAUUCAAACAAACUAGAUUGAAUGAAUUCGAUUUGUGCAAACUAAACUCGAGCGACUGAAAUCACAAGCUAAUAUGCGAAACAGAAACUAAACGAGCAUCGCGAAACUAUCACACACAAUUAAUAACAACUAACAAAUAACUAACUAAAUAAAUGAUUCAACUUCUUGUGGGUUUUUCAUGAAACUAGCAUAAAACACUUAUCAUAGACUAACUACUAAUAAAAAUUACAGAAGAUUAAACUAAAAUGCACAACCAAACGGGAAAACAGAAAUUAAGAAAAAUAAGGGAAAAGAUUGAAGCAUACCGAACAAUCCGUGGCAUCGGGGGAGUGAGAUAAGGCGGGACAACCGACUCAAGCACACUUCCUUUGAGCUAAAACACCAAGGCAACCAAUUCCGGUGCAUGACCGUCGACUCGUGCAUUUUUAACUCAAAGAAAACGUGCCCUAGGUCGGAAUUGAGGUCUUCGGGCAGCGGUCGUGGUAAUUAGGCAGCGUUUGGAUGGUGGUUUGGUCAGUGGUGGUUGAAGGUGGAAGUUCUUCGAAAUCGAAGAAAUAGAGGCGACUAGGGUUUUGAUUUAUUUGGAUAUUCACGGAGUUUGGUUGGGAUUUUGAGGACCUGAUUUGGAGAUAUGGAGAGAAGAGGAGGAGAGGAGGAGAUGGGUAUAAUUAUGGAGGUGACUUGGGCCACCGGACAGUGGCGGAGCGGCGGCGGCAGUGGUGGCAGAGCACGGCGGGGGGAGGUUUUUUUUGCGGUUUAGCUUGUGGAUUCGGGUAGAUGAGGAAAAGAGGAGAAAAAUGAUAUACAAUUUGGGUGGGUUUUAGGUGGUCUGCCGCCGAUGACAAAUUCCGGCGGGCGCCGCCGCCGUGAGGGAGUGGCGGCGGCAGAUGAAGGAGAGAGAAGAGAGAGAUGG
rnacentral:lncRNA from 1 species